UCUGUGCAGACUGUAUACAUAGGAAAUGCUGCAAUCUGACAAGUCUGAUUCGCACAGCUUCCCUCGGUCCUUUCACAGAAGUGCUCUGAAAUGAGGAAUGACCAUUUUAACAGCCUCUGAGAUGCUGUAUUAUGAAAUGCGUCAGCUGGGGAGCAAGAAGAAGAGAUGGAAGCAGAGGAGCAGGAAGAGAAUUGUCGGUUUGAUUUGGAGAAGAUGAAGAUCACAGAGGGAGGAAAUAUGGAUUUCCGAUUCCCAAGUCUGAGAUGAUAGCCCAGGUGGAAAGAGGGGAAGAGCCAUUUGUCCCAGAUCUCCAGCACUCUGAGGAAACAGAGAUCCUGAUGGUCAACUGCACAGGAAACUAUGAGAUUCUGCAGGAAGAUCCUGAUGAAGAAAUGGAGCAGCCUAGAACAUUAUCAGGCAGCAGAUCCAAAGGGAAUAUUUCCCAUAGCCCUGAGGAGAGAGACACCUCUGAUGGUAAGCACAUCUGUGGAGAAGACAGGCUGACCACCUGCACUGAGUAUGGGAAGAGCUUCAGUCGGAGCUCAUACCUUGCUGCACAUAAGAGCAUCCACACGGGGAGAGACCCUUCCAAUGCGCUGAAUGUGGAAAAGGGUUCACCGACAGAUCAACUUGCAGCCGGCACCAGAGAACCCACACCAGGGAGCAGCCCUACAGCUGCAAAGUGUGCGGGGAAAGCUUCAGCUUCAGAUCAGCGCUCAGCAAACACUUGAGAACCCAUACAGGGGACAGGCCAUGCAAAUGCAUUGAGUGUGGGAAGAGCUCCGCCCUCGUCGAGCACCAGAGUACGCACAGUGGGGAGUGGCCCUAAAAGUGCGGAGAGUGCGGGAAACGCUUCCAGCGGAACUCGCAUGUCACUAAACACCAGAGAAUCCACACAGGAGAAAAACCCUAUACAUGUGAAGAGUGCGGGAAAGGGUUCACGGAGAGUUCGUACCUUACUAACCAUCAGAGAAUCCACACUGGGGAGAGACCCUUCACAUGCAGGGUAUGCGAGAAGAGCUUCAAUCACAGCUCCACUCUCUUCAAACAUCAGAGGACCCACACGGGGGAAAGACCCUUCCUAUGUGCUGAGUGUAGGAAGGGCUUCCGUGGGAGCUCAGCCCUUACUUGGCAUCUGAGAAUGCACACGGGAGAGAGACCCUACACCUGCAGGCUUUGCAAGAAGAGCUUCAGUCAGAGGUCACAUAUUGUUGUACAUCAGAGGAUCCACACGGGGGAGAGACCCUUCCCAUGCACUGAGCGUGGGAAAAGGUUUGUAGAGAGUUCCACGUUCAUGUAGCACCGGAGAACUCACACUGGGGAGUGGCUCUAUAGCUGCAAAGAGUGUGGGAAGAGAUUCAGGUUCAGUUUCACACUCACCAAACACCAGAGAACUCACACAGGGGACAGGCUGUGCAAACGCACCCAGGGUGGGAGAAGCUUGAGAAAUGCCUCCUUCCCCAUGGAGCACCAGAGAAUCCACAGCAGGGAGUGGCCCUAUGGGUGUGGGAAACACUGCCAGUGGAGUUCGGACAUCACUAAACAUCAGAGAAUCCACAUGGGAGGUAGUCCCUAUAAACAUGAAGAGAGUGGGAAAGGGUUUGCAGCAAGCUCAUACCUCACUAACCACCACAGAACCCAUACCAGGGAGUUGCUCUUCACGCGUGCUGAUUGUGGGAAGAGGUUCAUCAGCAGAUCAAUGUUCAUGCAGCACCAGAGAAUCCAUAGCGGAGAGAGGCCCUACAGCUGUGAAGCGUGUGGGGAAAGCUUCAGGUUCAGCUCAGCACUCACCAAACACCUGAGAACCCACAUAAGGGACAGGACGUACAAACACACUGUGAGUGGGACAAAUUUUAUCCUUAAACAAUGAACACUCCCCUCCCCACCCAGUUCUGCUUCAUUCAGUAGGAAGACCAAUGGUGAGAACCUCUGGGGUUAUGAAACCUUACAGUGCCUAGACAUUUUUUUUGGAGUUCUUUGUAGUGAUCCUGUACUAACAAUGAAACUACUUUGGUUUCAGGUCAGGCAAUUUUAAUUUGGAGUAAACCAUCCAAACAUACUCUAAGGGGUAAGGCACAGGUCUCAGAAUAUUGAACAUAUUCCGACUUUUUUCUUAAAUACAUUUUUUGUCUGGGGGAGGGUGUGUGGUCCAUGAGGAAAGAUGUGUUGGCAUCUGGCUUGCAGAUAGGCUUCCUCCAAAUCCAAAAUAACGGAGACUGGUCUCAAACCUUGGGACAGAUCAUAACCUAUGCGUGGGAAAAUGUGAAAAUAAAAACAAAUUUCCUGGCAGGAGGGCAGCAAAGGUUUAGGCUACAAAUUCCCAAGCACAUGCUGCAACCAAGUGACUUUGAGGUAAAGCUGUGUGUGCUGAAAGGCUGAGGUAUUUUAAAUUAAUAAUAUCAGGAUUGCUAAAAUGGUUGUAGCCAACCUUUUAUUCAUUUUCUCAGAGCAAGGAAAGGGAGAGGGUCGGAAGAGCUAAAACCUGAGUAAAGAUAGCCGGCACCUGUGGUUCCUUUUUCACAAGCUGAACAAGCUGCUCAGAUAGUAAGGAAGAAAGACCAUAAUCUCAAGCAAUGGAUGUUUAUUAAACAUUUUUCUUUC